rnacentral:rRNA from 1 species
AACGAACGCUGGCGGCAUGCCUAACACAUGCAAGUCGAACGAGACCUUCGGGUCUUUUUGCGCACGGGUUCGUAACGCGUGGGAACCUUCCCUUAUGUUCGGAAUAACUCCCCUAAAGGUGUGCUAAUACCGGUUAAUGUCUUCUGACCAGAGAUUUAUCGCCUUUGGUUGGGCCCUCGUUGGAUUAGCUUUUUGGUAGGGUAAAAGCCUACCAAGGCGACGAUCCAUAGCUGGUCUGAGAGGAUGAUCAGCCACACUGGGACUGAGACACGGCACAGACUGAGACGGGAGGGAGAAGUGGGGAAGAUUGGAAAAGGGGCGAAAGAAAGAAACAGAAAUGCGGAGUGAGUGAUGAAGGGGAAAGGGUUGAAAAGCUAUUAUACGCGGGAUGAUAAAGAGAGAAGAGGGAGAAAAAGAUGGGGAAAAAUCCG